ACCUAGGAGACAAAACAAGUUCAUUAUUUCUGACACAAACAGUCUUUUAUUGGCAUACAAACACGGCUAGCGUAGAACGUUUUUCUAGAAUAUCACAAAAAAAUCACUUACCCUCCUAUUCAAAUUAAUACAUUCAACAAUUUUUAAAAAUUGCCCUCAGUUUCCCUCGGGAAGUGACUCCCAUGUUAAACUGAAGGUAAACUAUUAACAUAAAUCUAAAUAUCCAGUAAUAAUUAAACAAAAUAUGCCAUAUAGCAAUGCCGCGUUUGUUACAUUUAGUUAAACAAACAUUCAUUCCAGCUCAAGAUAAGGAUUUAAAGCAAAGAUGAUCAGAAAAACAAAAGCAAUAGCCCACUGGUGUUGCUUUUUUUGGCUGGGGGUGGAAGAGUUCUCCGUGUUUCACAACAAGCCCUAUUUUUCUCCCACUUGAAAUUUCCCAGUCCAAAAGUCCUGCAUCACAGCCACCACUUCUCCCAUCAGAGACUAGACAGGACUCACUUGGACCCAUAAGCACUGCUGCCUAAUGCAGACAGGUCACUCUUGAGCACAGAACCUACGCCACACACACAAACUUUUUUUGCAGUGUUCCCAGCCUACAAAGUGAAAUAACAGGAUCCAACAUCAAACUGAAGAGCACUAAUCUGGGGUACCAGUCUGGAUCCACAAUGCUUUGACAAAUUUUCAUUUGAGGUCACCAGUAAAGAGUAGACACAAAUUUCCUUCACUACACAUCUCUGUGUAGCCAAAUGGGAACUUAAUGUUCAUUUAUCAGUAAUUACAGUAGUGUUUAUAAAAUCUUCCAAUGUCCUAUGAGCACUGGCAACAUGAACGGAUAGUAAGCAGGUAGCCCAAACAACUGGGAAGGAAAAUCACACAUACAGCACUCAUCUCAAACUAAACUAAAAAGGAAACAAAGCUUUGAGCCUUGCUCCAAAGGAUGCGAAGGCAUACGCAAGAAGAGCAGUCUAGACGGAACAGGCUGUGUGCCUUCCCUCCUUUCCAGAUUAUAUCAUGGGACAGAGAACAGCCCUCCCACCACUUGAAACUGGAAUGAAGGGUCACAGGGAUAGGGUGACACCCUUUGGUUGGUCUUUUUAAAAAAGGAAGGGAUCUAGUGGAUAAGCAAUGGGACUACUCACCUGCUUAAAGUUAAGCAUGUACUUAAGUGCUUUACUGCAUUGGCGCCAUGAGUAAAAUUAAAACUGAUGAAGAAUAUUGUACAGUGAGCCCACAGUUUCCUGAACCAAUCAUUCCCGCACUGUAAUACUGAGAGUAUAUCAUCAUGAACAUAAGCAAGGAUUGGCAUAGGCAGAGCAGAUAAACAGAAGGCUGAAAACCACAAUUUUCCAAUCUUUUUUUUUUUCAUAGACGUGGACAAUUAAAAAGAUAUUUGAGUUCUGAAAUGCCAUUCUGGUGCUAGAAUCUUUGUUCUACUGUAUUUGGCCAUUUAAAAAAUCUUUGAUAAGAUUCACACACUGGUCAUCAAUACUAAUGAAGCAUUGUUUAUCUGAAUAUAAAACCAGUUUUAGACUAGUCAAGCUUGCAACAAACAGUUCUAGUUUUCAAGCAACCAGCUGGCGAUUCACUUAUGAGGUGGCAUGUUUGUAUUUCCAGUUUUGAAAACAGGUAAAAAUUUUUAGUCCAUCUAGCUUUGUUAAUAAUUUUACUAUGGAAAUACAGAAUAUGAUUUGUGGGUGUGAUUGGUCAGUAGGUGGGUGAAAAGCAUAAAAAAAUUUCAAAUUUCUAGUAGGAAUACUUCAUUUACAAUAAAGGAGGACAAACGUUCUUGUUGGAACAUUACAGGGUUAAUUCUUUCCGAGCAAACACUACUCAUGAAGUGAUGGGCUUGAUGCAGAAAUAGGGUGAUAAUCUAUGGUUUGUGUUAUUCGAGGGGUCAUAAUGGACCCUCUGGCCUUAGAAUCUAUGAAUAACUGUCUUCUAUACACAUUGAGAGUCAGGAUGUUAAAUUAUCUAUCAGAUGUAUUGAACACAGAUAUUCAGGUGUAUGCAGUAAAAUAUUCUUGAAAUCUCUUAAGUGCCAAAAGACUCAGUCAAGAAAUUAUCUGAUCACUUCCCAGAUAUAGAGAUGCAUGAUUAGCUAAAACUGAUAUUUACCUACUGAUUUGAAGGAGAAUAUUUCAGAAUAAAGCAUUUUGUACAGAAAGAAUCCAUUCUUCAAGCAUUAUCUGUGUGGAUCCCCACUCCUGGUAAAUGCCUCAAUACACCUGAAAUUGACAUUUCCUGCUUUGCAGUGUCUGCAUCUAGGCUUCCUAACUCCUUAUGCCCCUAAACAAGGGUAUAAAAAAGGGACAGGCUACCUAGCAGUCAUUUCUGCUUGCUGUCUGCUGUAGUUAAAAGGAAACACACCCCAUUCGGUUGCUCUUCCAUUGGCAUUUUGUAAAGGACAAUAACUUUUCUAAAUAAAUGCCAUCUUAUUUGAUCAUGAAUGCUCCAGGUGUCUUUGUUCUCAUUCUCAUGAUGAUUUCAGCUGUUAAACCUAUUUAGCAGAUUUCCAAUCCUGGCACUUGAGACACUCUAAUACUGAAGUUAGCUAGAUUAAAAUCACCCAGAAGUCCUAGUAAUGUAUCUGGACCGUAUCUUCUUUCUUUUGGCAUAGUGACUACUAUUUUUACGCUAAUCAUUGGCUUUGUUAACACUACUCAUGAAGUUUAACUUGAUGCUCCGUUGUGUUGCAGGAGUUGAUCCUUUGUUAGUAUCUUCACAGAGAAAACCAGUUAAGGGUACUUUGGGGCAUAUGCAGUAGAUGGGAUGAUUAUUCAACUCCCCUUUUAAAUCUACUUUCAGAGUCAGCGAUCUGAGAACUGAAUAUAAAAUAAAGUUUGUUGUUUGCCAAAACCAAAACAUCUUUUAUGUCUCUUUCCUGCUGAGCCGUGUAAACAAACCACCCCAUCUCUCUGCGUUUUAUCAAAAUCAUCUUAUUUUAUAGACAGGAUUUGUAAAUUAAUGCCACUUUUGUUUUAGCUUGUUUUAAUGCAUUUAAUUCUUUGCUCAGAAAGCAGGGGUCUCAACUGAGAGGUGUGCCCCUCGUCAAACUUUCUAAGGGAGGAGCGGCGAGUCUUCUAAUAAUGGCAUUGCAACAUGGAGUCUCAAUGCCACUCAAAUAUGGCCCGGGUGCCCCUCUGUUAUGCCAGAUGGAGGGGCGGCCAGGCCAAAUUUGAGUGGUGUGGUAACCCUGUGCAACAGGUCGCAACACCACUCACUCAAAGGGGUGACUGAACCAAAUUGGCAGUAGGGAGAGACUGAGUACCAUCUGAUGGUGAAUAACACGUGCUAAUCGCCAUCAGGUCAACCCACAGUGAGCUACGGGAAGGGCCUGCCAUUUUAAGAGUAAGAAGAUAACAGAUAUUCCCGCUGUUUUGGACUGUCUCUGAAGAUACAUGGUUUUACUGGGCCCAGGCAGAGAAAUUUUUCCAUUUGGCUAGGUAACAUUUUCUGGUGAAGUAUGUUUUGCACAGCUUCAAGGCAGGAACAUUAUUGGUUCAACAUCCAUCCAUAUACCAAGCUGUGAGAUAAAGAGUAUCAGAGUUGGGAUUCCUAACCCUACCAUUUUUCUGGAUCAAAAGAUCCGGAAAGGUCCAAAUGCUGAUGGGCAGAAGGGACGACAUUUGUAGGAGGCUUGGUAAUCAGAACUGUCUGGGCCAUCUGGGAGCAAUGUGCCUUGUAUAGUCAAAUCUUCUGCAGACCCUGACGUAGUAGUGGGCUGACAGGGAAGGCAUAACUGAAGUGAUCAGUCCAAGGUAGGAAAUGAGCAUCGCCCCGGAGUACUGACCUUGAGCUCCCUUGGAGCUAUAUAUGUUGCACUUCCCAUUUGUCUACGAGGCAAAUAGGUCCUAAGUGGGGGUUCCCCAAUGAGUGACAAUGCUGUUUACUACUGAAUCAUGUAAUUGCCACUCAUGUUGAUGGUGAAAUGUCCGCUGAGGCUGCCUGCCAGUGAAUUCUGGGUACCUGGGAAGUACAGUGCCAAUAGGGCGAUGUGGCUCUGUAUACACCACUUCCAUGCAGAGGGGGACAGAGCAUGCACCUGCCUGCUGGUUUAUAUAGAAAUGGGCAGUUAUGUUUUCCAACAUUAUCAGGAUGGGAUGGGAUAGUAUGAAUACCAGGAAUGUUUUGCAACCUUCUCGUACAGCUCUCAGUUCCAGAAGAUAUGCAUUUGGGCUUCCCAAGGUGUCAGAGUGCCUUGCUCUAUGUGAUUGUCCAUGUGGGCUCCCCAGCCCAUCAUAGAGGCAUCUGUAAUUAUUGUCUUGUUGGGUGUGGGGGCUAGAAACGGAACUCCCAUGAACACAUGUCCAGGGUCACUCCACCAUACCGGAGCGGAAGGAAUUAUCACUAUAGUAUUCAUGCUGUGCUUGCUUCGUCUAUACACUGUUUGGAGCCAAGUCUCUAGGCAAUGGAGGAGGAGUCUAGCAAAUAGCAUUGCAUAAAUACAUGACACUAUAUAGCCCAGGGGAGUUAGGCAUAUCUGAACUGAUGUUCAAGGGCUAUGCAUAACUAGAUCUAUCAGAGCACCCCUGGCAUGAAAUCUAUCCAUGGGGACAUAGGCCUUCACCCUGAUUAGAUUCAAUGUUGCUCCUAUAAAUUCUAUGGUCUGCAUUGGAGUCAGUGUAGACUUCCCCACAUUUGCGCAAACUACCAGAGACGCUAGAAGGUGGAGCAGUGACGAGGUUGUCAUUAAGUCUUCCAGGCAAGACCUGCCAGUCAGAAGCUGGUUUUCCAAGUACAGGAAGGUGGAGGAGCCGCCUCAUCUGAGCUGUGCUACAAAUACUGAGAACACUUUUGUGACAACUCUGGGAGCUGCAGCUAAACCCAAGGGGAGCACCCUGUAUUGGUAUUGGUGGGGGCCCACCACAAACCUGAGGAAUCAUCUGCGGGAGGGAUGAAUUUCUACAAGAAAGUAUGCACCUUUCAUAUCAAAAGCCAUGAACCCUGAGCCUUUUUUGACAGAUGGUAUUAUCAAUGCCAAUGUAACCAUGCAGAAUUUCAGUUGGCAAAUAAAAGCAUUGAGUUGACACAGGUCAAAAAUGGGUCUCCAGCCUCCUUUCUUCUUGGGAAAUAUUUCAACUAGAACCCCAAUAUUGAGGGGGAGCCUUUCAUGAGAGUGGUCCUUGAAAAGGGACAGAGAAAUGAGUUUUGGAAGAGGUGGGUAGAGAAUCUUGAUGGUAUAGCCAGAACGGAUGAUAUCCAGCACCCAUGUGUCUAUUAUUGUUGCCCAAUUGUGGGGAAAUUUUGCUAGGAGUCCCCCCAAAUGGAUCUCAGAAUUAGGUAGAGAUGCCAUUGAUACUGGUUUGCAACUCUCUAAAAGUUGUCAAAAACAUCCCUUGGCUGGAAUGUGAGGUUGAGUAGCCAUGGUUGAAGUGGAAGUCACAGGGUAUCUUGGCCUCUACAUUUUCUGUCAUUUGCAGGGUGGCUCAUAGGAGCACUGGUGAUAGAAGGAUUGAGGUAAGGGCCUUGGUUUAUAGGGUUGUUAAAAGUAUUUUUUCUUUGGGGCAAGUGCAUAUAUGCCCAGGAAACAGAGAGUUGCCCUUGAGUCUUUCAACACGUGCAAACACUUGUCCAUCUUCUCAUUGAAAAGAUGAGUCUCACAGAAAGGUAAUACAGUGUUUUGAACAUCCCUGGGGAAACCCCGAAGAGUGCAGCCAUUAUUCCUGUCACAUCACAGUGGUGGCUGUCGUUGCUCUUGAUGCUGUAUCAGCUGCAUUGACUGCAGCUUAUAAAGAGGUUCUGGCCAGCAGUUUGCCCCCACCAAUAGGAGUUUGAAACUAAACCCUGUCCUCCCGGGGCAACUUGUCCCUAAAGUCUAGAAAUUUAGAGUAAUUCAGGAAAUUAUAUUUGGUGAGAAAGGCUUGAUAGUUUGAGAUUUUAAACUGCAGGCUGAUAGAUGUAAUCAUCUUCCUUCCCAGAAGGCUGAGACACUUGGCCUCCUUAUCUGCAGGGAUGGCCCUUAGGUGUUGUCUGGAUCUUUGCAUGGCCACCUGGACCACUGAGGAGUUUGCAGCAGGGUGGAUAAGAAGAACUCCCCUCCUUUAGCGAGGACAAAGUAUCACUUCUCUGACCACUUGGAGGGGGGCACAGGUAGCUAGUGUGUGACACACAACCCUUGUCAGUUCUAACAACUUUAUUUACUGGGUGUGCAAACCUGAUUGGAGCCCGCAGGUUGCAGGAUAUCCAGGAGCUUAUGCUGGGGGUCCUGGAUCUCUUCUAGGGAGAUCUGGAGUUCUUCCACCUCUCCAUAACAGCUCCUGAAACUGUCUAUAAUCAUCUGGGGGAGGUGGAGAGGCUGGAGUGACUGCUUCAUUGGGUGACUACCAUGACAGAGCCCAGUGGAACUGGCAGAUCCAGCUCAUCUUCUCCUUUUUCUAUGGGCUCAGUGGUUUCAGACUGACAUCUUGGAAGAGAAUGGUGAUAAGAUUACCUGUUGGAAUGGACAGAGUCCAGGGAACAUGUGUAAGGGUCCCAAAUAAGGACAGUAUGAGGAAUCAAAAGGCGGAUUGUGGUGGCAUUGGGUACACACUGGUCCCGAGGAGGAAGUUCCUUCCUGGGUGGCCAAACCUGGUUCCAGGAGAUUCUCAAUCCCAUUUCUGGUCUGAAUUCCUUAGGUGGCGGAGAAGCAGUUCCACUGAUACAUCUGACUUUCCGAAAGAUGAAAAGAUUGGAUCCAGCUGCAUUGUACUGCUAUCGGCAUCACUGAGAGGAGACUGUGGAUAGUGGAUGGGAUGGGGAUAGGUUUUUUCCGGAAUCCUAGAUUCCUGUAAGCAUUUUUAUCUCCCUGGUGAGGACUGGUCCCAAUAUCAAGAAAGAUUGUGGGUCUGGGAAGAUUAAGAUAUUGUCUGGACUGGUAUAAGUCACCGGAACAUUCAGAAGUUGCGUCUUGUCAGUCCAUACCAUCAGAGUAGGUGUAGACAGCAGUUCUUUAUGGGGCCGUGACAGUACCGUCAGCGAAGGAGUCUCUGACCACACGGUUGAUGAUGAUACUGGCAGUUCCUGGUCCUUAGAGUCCCAGUGUUUCAUUUUAGGUGGCACUGCAGUCAGUGUCAAAGUCAAUGCAGAGCCUGGUACCAAAGGCGUCUUGCUCCUAUACCUCUUUUGAACAUGACCAUGUGGCUUAGGAGGACCUAACUCCUUAUGGCUUGGACAUGAAGGCUCACCCAACUUUGACAGGGAGGGAUCUCUCCUCUUAGUGAAUCUAGAAGAAGAUCUGGGUUUAUGUUUAAGAGAGUGCCCUUUACUCUCAUGAGGGGGACCAGCCAAAGGGGUCCUUUCCUAGUACUAGGGGCAUGCUCCUUGCCAACUCUGCCUGAUGUACAGGGGGAUCUCCCUGGCCUGGGUCUGACUCGGGUACGCUGCUGGAAAAGAGCAACAGAUACUACGCUUGGCAGAGAUAUGAGCUUCUCUGAAGCAGCAGAGGCAAUGCAAUGGUUCUUGGUGACCAAAAAGGAGCAGGGCAGGAGGUGCAGUUUUUGAAGGCCAGUAUACUGGGCAUAAUCUAAAUCCCACACCAGGAGAACUAGGAGUGUUCCCCAGGGUGGGGAUUUUAACACUAACUAGGGAAUUAGCAAACCACAAACAAAAAAUAAAUAAUAAUAUAUAUAACUUUGAAUAUUUACAAAAAGAAUAGAAAGUGUCAGCUCCAGACACUGGAGGAUUCCGAUCCAGGCCAUGCUGUGGUAAGAAGGAACUGGAGAGGUGGUUGGUCUGGUCCAUCCUUUUACCCUUGGAGUGGAGCACAAGGAGAGUAGAGGUGUGGACCCAUGGACACUACUUGAAAGAAUUCACUGGUCUCAAAGAGCAUGAAGCGCACGUUUACCCACAGUGGAAUACACAUAGGAACCAACACUCAAAGAAGAAUAAAUCAUUGAGCACAAUAUUUAGCAGAGGCACCUAGAGCAAAAUGCAUAGGUUCUGGUCACUCCAGUACAGAAUCUCAAAACAGUGGAGAAGAUUCAGUAAAGAGCAGGGAAACUGAUCAAGUAAACAUUCAAGUAAAACAGAGCAUUGAAGAAUGUACCCCAUGGAACAUUUCCACACUGGCAAACUCCUACAUUCAAAUGCUUAAACUAUAUUUUCCUGACAGCAGGAUCCUCCUGUAUUUGAGUUGUGCUUCAAAUUUCUCUGAUACAGUCUAGGUAUGUGUCCUGUUAUGGAGGAAUAUUUCAGCCACAAGAAACGGUUACCAACCUUUUCCUGUAACUCUUGUUUUUCCAAGACGUGUAGCACAUGUCCAUUUCACUACAGAUGUGUGCAUGCCUCACACACAGUUGGAGAUUUUUCCCUCAGCAGUACCUGUCAGGGCGGCACAAGUGACCUCUGUUGCCUCACACCACUACACAGAGCCAUAACGGGUGGAGCUAUCCAUGGCGCUUGUUAUUUCUUUCUACCAUAUAGACGCCAAUAGAGGGGAAGUGGGAAAGGUCAUGGAAUGGACAUGUGCAACACAUUUUGAAGAGUAUCAGUUAUAAAAAAAGGUUAGUAAUCAUUUUUAAUUUGAGUGAUUUCACAUGUCCAUUCAGCUGUAGGUGACUCUCAAGCAGUUUGAACAGGAAGUGGGCUUGGAGUCUACUUGAACAGGGACUGCAGGACCACCCAUCCAAAUCUGGCAUUGUCUUUAGAUUGAUGAAAUAUGGCACAGUGAGGGACAAACAUAGGGACAGAGCAUCAGAUUGCUGCCUUACAAAUGUCCUAGAUGGGCACAUGAGCCAGAAAGACAGAGGAAGUAGCCUAAGACUUAAUCGAAUGGGCCAACACUCUAACCAGGGGUGUGAUAUCAGCCAGCUGGUAGCUAUGGCGGUCUACACUAUUAUGGUCAAAAUUAUGAUAAAUCUUGUACAAAGUAUGCCUUGUGAGGUAUCACUAGAAAAAUCAUAAUCUUCUGAAUAUUAACGUUCUGUUAAAAUGUGUGUAUCAACAUUGUAUAUGGAAACAUGAGAUUUCGCUAUACGUUUGUUACUGGAACAUGUUGUAAUUCUGGGGAACGUCCACAGUCUAGCUCUUCAGAGACAAGAAAGGGGUGGCCAACACCCAGCUACGUGCUAAGAGACCAGUGACUGUUUAACUGGCCAUUCACCAGCAGGGGAGUUGUAAUCAAGAAAUUUAUUAUUCACCUGAAGGACAGUCGGCAGCUCACAUUCGCCAUGGAACUGCCUGACCCCAGGACAGAACAAGGACUUUUCCAGUAAAAAGGGUCAGGAUAUAAAAAGGGGGAAGAAAGGCCCCAGGCCAGCUCUCUCUUCCCCCAUCUUUACUGAAAUAAGAUUGGCUGAAAGACUUUGAACUGGGAAGAUUGGUCCCAGGCUGGGAAGGGAAUCCAGCCAGUGUACUAAGAACUAUAAACUGAUGCAACAUCAAGAGGGGUGAGAAGAGCUGUUUCCUUCAAAUCUUAGCUUGAUAAAGUUUAGGAAACAGCUUCCGAUUUUAUCUUUUACUUCUUUUGUAACCAAAUCUGAUUUAUACACUUUUAUCACUUAUAAUCACUUAAAAUCUUCCUUUAGUUAAUAAACUUGUUUUAUUUUUUUAUCUAAAUCAGUGUGUUUUGAUUAAAGUGUUUGGAGAAUCUCUGCUCAGAUAUG